CUUCGGAGUGAGCGGCGGACGGGUUAGUAACGCGUGGGAACGUGCCCUUCUCUAAGGAAUAGCCACUGGAAACGGUGAGUAAUACCUUAUACGCCCUUCGGGGGAAAGAUUUAUCGGAGAAGGAUCGGCCCGCGUUAGAUUAGAUAGUUGGUGGGGUAAUGGCCUACCAAGUCUACGAUCUAUAGCUGGUUUUAGAGGAUGAUCAGCAACACUGGGACUGAGACACGGCCCAGACUCCUACGGGAGGCAGCAGUGGGGAAUCUUGGACAAUGGGCGCAAGCCUGAUCCAGCCAUGCCGCGUGAGUGAUGAAGGCCUUAGGGUCGUAAAGCUCUUUCGCCAGAGAUGAUAAUGACAGUAUCUGGUAAAGAAACCCCGGCUAACUCCGUGCCAGCAGCCGCGGUAAUACGGAGGGGGUUAGCGUUGUUCGGAAUUACUGGGCGUAAAGCGCACGUAGGCGGAUCAGAAAGUAUAGGGUGAGAUCCCAGGGCUCAACCCUGGAACUGCCUUGUAAACUCCUGAUCUUGAGUUCG
rnacentral:rRNA from 1 species